UACAGAGGAAAGUACUUAUAUCUGAGCUAUAGUUUAUACUCAUCUGUAAACUAUUUAUAUUUGAUCAUCUCUAUUGCUUGACUAUCAAUAACAAAUAUCCCAAAGUGUUACUUCUAAAAUGUGUUCUAUUUUAUCUUAAUAACAUUUAACAUUUGAAACUGCUCCUUAUAUUUUAGUUGUUCAUGAGUCUCUAUAGAACAAACAUGGCUGCAUCCGUGUCAAGUGUUGCUGUGCGUGUGUGAAGAGAAGCUCUUGUGGCAGCUGAUAGAAGCAUUAUCCGAAAUCAAAUGCAAUGCCCCCGAAGGAAAGAACAGAGCCGUGACAGCUGCCACAACCCUUCACAGCUAGCACCAUGCUCUGCGGGCUGACGAGGUAGGGCAGGUGGAACCACAGCUUCACUCCUUUGUUCGGUGUGUCAGAGCGUUUCUGCUGCUUUUGAGUGCUCCACUUUCUGUUUGCUGAGAGCAAUGGACUAUUUUCAUUUUUGUCCAGAUGCUAAAACUUAAGAGACACAAACAAAGCACAGGUGGGAUAACCCUUGCUAUGUUCCUAAAAUAGUUAUUGAGGUAAUCCUAAUUAUAUCUUGAUUAGUUUUACUUCAUAAAUGGCUUAUGUCUGCUUUUAUA
rnacentral:lncRNA from 1 species